rnacentral:rRNA from 1 species
GCAAGUCGAGGGGCAGCAUGGUCUUAGCUUGCUAAGGCCGAUGGCGACCGGCGCACGGGUGAGUAACGCGUAUCCAACCUGCCUUACACUCUUGGACAGCCUUCUGAAAGGGAGAUUAAUACAAGAUGUUAUCAUGAGUAAGCAUUUUCGCAUGAUUAAAGGUUUACCGGUGUAAGAUGGGGAUGCGUUCCAUUAGAUAGUAGGCGGGGUAACGGCCCACCUAGUCUUCGAUGGAUAGGGGUUCUGAGAGGAAGGUCCCCCACAUUGGAACUGAGACACGGUCCAAACUCCUACGGGAGGCAGCAGUGAGGAAUAUUGGUCAAUGGACGAGAGUCUGAACCAGCCAAGUAGCGUGAAGGAUGAAGGUUCUAUGGAUUGUAAACUUCUUUUAUACGGGAAUAAACGGAUCCACGUGUGGAUUUUUGCAUGUACCGUAUGAAUAAGGAUCGGCUAACUCCGUGCCAGCAGCCGCGGUAAUACGGAGGAUCCGAGCGUUAUCCGGAUUUAUUGGGUUUAAAGGGAGCGUAGAUGGGUUGUUAAGUCAGUUGUGAAAGUUUGCGGCUCAACCGUAAAAUUGCAAUUGAUACUGGCAGUCUUGAGUACAGUUGAGGUAGGCGGAAUUCGUGGUGUAGCGGUGAAAUGCUUAGAUAUCACGAAGAACUCCGAUUGCGAAGGCAGCUUACUAACCUGUAACUGACAUUGAUGCUCGAAAGUGUGGGUAUCAAACAGGAUUAGAUACCCUGGUAGUCCACACGGUAAACGAUGAAUACUCGCUGUAGGCGAUAUACAGUCUGCGGCCAAGCGAAAGCAUUAAGUAUUCCACCUGGGGAGUACGCCGGCAACGGUGAAACUCAAAGGAAUUGACGGGGGCCCGCACAAGCGGA